GAUUCUGACACUUCCGUGUGGACAGCCUGCUCGGCCUCCCUCCCUACGUGUGCUCUGGAGCCCUAGCACGGACACCUCCUGGGGAGUCCCGGGCCCCGGGCCCCGUGCCCCCACCGGCUGAAUCACAGCUGCCUUCCGUUCUGUCAGGGUCCUGGGCUGUGUGAGAAGCAGGGCUCUGGUCCCACCGAACACGAGCCGAACACGGCUGGGUGGGCACAGCCCCCACGGGGGUCACUGUGGGAGGGCUGCCGGGUGAGGGGGCAGAGGAGCGGGCCCCAGUGGGGCUCUGCAGAGGCGGUCCUCCAGGUGCGACCCUCCAGGUGGGCCCAGGAGGGUCUGCGCGCAGGCCAGCAGAACUCAGGAGGAAGGAGAAGGAGAAAGCUCAUUCCCCUCUUUCCUCUUCACUACAACGUUAGCGAUGGACAACAUGCGGUGAUGACGGCGGCCAGGCGGGCUGGUCCUUGCUCCCUGCCCGUCAUCCAGCUCUGCCUUCCCCAUGAACAUUGGGGUCUCAGGCCCACUGAGAUGCUGGGCCUUGAAGGCACAGAGAACGGCCUGCCUCGGAGAAUCCUGCUGCUUCGCUUGACUGUAAACCAAAGUGCCUUUUUUCAGAACCCGGUCCACCAGUAGAUGACAAGAAGGAAGAAAUCAACACAUCCCCUGCCUGAGGCUUGCCAUUCUAGGAGAAGUUUGCAAGAUUGAUGGCCUUUUUACUUUGCUUCUCACCUCCCCCCAUCUCUGACCUACAAAAGAACCUGACAUCCAGACCCCCAAAAGAUGGUUAUUUUGAGGGGCUAACCUGCCGUCUUCUUGGUCAGCUGGCUUUUGGAAUAAAGUUGUUUUCCUUGCCUCAA